rnacentral:rRNA from 1 species
UACAGAGACUGCAAGCGUUAUUCGGAUUCAUUGGGCGUAAAGGGUGCGUAGGCGGCGGAGCAAGUCAGGUGUGAAAUCCCGGGGCUCAACCCUGGAACUGCACUUGAUACUGCUUUGCUAGAGUACUGGAGAGGAGAUUGGAAUUUACGGUGUAGCAGUGAAAUGCGUAGAUAUCGUAAGGAAGACCAGUGGCGAAGGCGAAUCUCUGGACAGUUACUGACGCUGAGGCACGAAGGCCAGGGGAGCAAACGGG